rnacentral:rRNA from 1 species
AUAUAACUAAGCGGAGGAAAAGAAACUAACUAGGAUUCCUUUAGUAACGGCGAGUGAACAAGGAAUAGCCCAUCACCGAAUCCUUCUUGGCCUUCAGGUAAGGAAUUGUGGUGUAAAGGACAAUCUUUGCUAUAGUUUUAUUAGUCCAAGUUCUCUUGAAUGGGGCUUCCCAUAGCGGGUGUCAGGCCUCUAGCGACUAUUAAAACUGUAUCUUUGGUUGUCCCGAGAGUCGGGUUGCUUGAGAUCGCAGCCCUAAGACGGGUGGUAAACUCCAUCCAAGGCUAAAUACCGUCGCGAGACCGAUAGCGCACAAGUA